rnacentral:rRNA from 1 species
AAUUUCGGAAGCCGUAGAGAUACGGCCCCCCUUGUGGUCGGUAUACAGGUGGUGCAUGGCUGUCGUCAGCUCGUGUCGUGAGAUGUUGGGUUAAGUCCCGCAACGAGCGCAACCCUUGUCCUGUGUUGCCAGCGCGUAAUGGCGGGGACUCGCAGGAGACUGCCGGGGUCAACUCGGAGGAAGGUGGGGACGACGUCAAGUCAUCAUGCCCCUUAUGUCCAGGGCUUCACACAUGCUACAAUGGCCGGUACAGAGGGCUGCGAUACCGUGAGGUGGAGCGAAUCCCUUAAAGCCGGUCUCAGUUCGGAUCGGGGUCUGCAACUCGACCCCGUGAAGUCGGAGUCGCUAGUAAUCGCAGAUCAGCAACGCUGCGGUGAAUACGUUCCCGGGCCUUGUACACACCGCCCGUCACGUCAUGAAAGUCGGUAACACCCGAAGCCGGUGGCCUAACCCUUGUGGAGGGAGCCGUCGAAGGUGGGAUCGGCGAUUGGGACGAAGUCGUAACAAGGUAGCCGUAAAACC